rnacentral:lncRNA from 13 species
UGACGGGGCCUAACUCUGAAAGUAAGAGGGGUCUGGGGCGUACCUUGGAGAGCUCCAUCCAUGAGCUCUGAACACCAUGACCUUUCAGAAGUCUUCGUCAACCUCUAGCAUAUUCCACAUGCUCAUAUUAUGGUUUGUCAUUGUCCUGUUUUGCACUGAUGGUUUGACAGCUGGGAUGGGGACGACACCUAACCUGAAACACAUUGUGAUUGGUCGAUGUUACAGCUACAUAACACUAGUUUGGCCUAAUUCCAGAUAUGACUGUGAGGAGAUCUGGAGGGAGUUUGAGGAGGCUGUAAUGAGGAAGUCUCGCUGUAACGUGAAGGUUAAGGACUACAAAAGGAUGUUCCAUGCCACACCACAGACUCUGACAUGUGGUAAGGUGAGUAUCACCAUGGCAGCUCUGGAUUCUUAUCCGAGACAGGUGGGACUUGAUCCUAGAUCAGCAUUCCUACCCUGUGACAAUUUAUGAGUACGGGCCCUGAAUCCUCUGAGGAUGUAACUGCCUGUGUUGUGUUUUUGAGUAUCUUUGAUUUCUUGAGUAUCUAAUGUAUGAUUCCUCUGAGAU